UUUUUUUUUUUUUUUUUUUUUUUUUUAACACAGCCUCUGGGUGGGUCUGACACUCCCAACAGUUUGAGAACCAAGAUAUAAUACAAAGAGGCUGGCGAAGGGGUUGUCAUCCAGCACUGUCAACCACCUCCUCUCUGGUGCCUCCUGGGUAAUUUUCUACUCAAACUAGUUAAGGGGCUGAAGUGUGCAAAUGAUUUACUUAAGAAAAAUUAAAGGAAGGUAGAUGCAAGCUUAUCUCCCUAAUCAAGUCACUCUCAUUCACUCACAUGCACCACUAGGUUUUCUUGAAUGAUGUUGAUGUGUGAGUGAUUUUGAUUUUAGAAAGGGGAAGUUAAACAUGGCUUUUGUCUUGUUAUUUGCAAUAGAAAGUGAAAGUAGGUUUGUAAAUAAUCUUAGACAAAAAGGAAUCUGUAAGGAAAAUCAAGGUAUCUGAAGCAUUUAUUUACUAAUAACUACAGCGAAGAUUCAUCUGGGCAUUCAAUGCUCACAGGCUCUUGUGCCUGAUUGCUGAGAUUCUUAAAACAAAACAAAACAAAAUAUAUGUGUGUAUACACACACACAGAGCCAUUGAAUAUGCAACUGUCCCAAUUAGGAGAGGAAAAUGUGCAUGGCUUAAGGCUGGCAUAUCCCAAGGAGGAGGCCGUUUUGCAGUGAGAUUAGAGAUUCCUUUUAUUUUGGCCAAGGGUCUUACUGAAGGAGCAGCUGAGAGCUUUGCUAAAUUUUCAAAAGAGGUGCGUUGGUCUGCCAGAUGUGCAGUAGGUUUAAAUCAGUGUUUCCCUGAGUAUGUUGCAAAGAACAAUUCCAAGUUUCUAAGCACUAAUACAAAAAAAAAAAAAAAAAAAGUCUGAGGUGAAGUGAGAAACUCUAGGUAAACUGAAUUAGAUAGGAUCAUUUGCAGCACAGCGGCCUCUAACACAUUCCUAUACACUGCGAUUCUCCAGAAGAGCGUUGCCUCAUGGAUUUGAUCAGCAAAACCCUUUCAGAAGGGAUAAUCUUGUGGAAUUAGUGUUCUAGCCAGUAAACUUUAGGAACCACGCAUUCACAUCUUCUAAGAUGGCAAACACCUGUGGGUAGAAGCUAGUUAUUCUAUGUGUUGUAUAAUAAGGAAUCUCUUUGUUAUAAUUUAUUAAAUGCUCUGUGUCUGGCAUCAACAUUAAUUAUGUAGUGGCUUGAAGCCAACAAGAAGGUUCAUGUAGUCAUCACUGAAGAGUUAAGUAAGUUGUCCAGCUGUUGAUGGUCUGGUUAAAUCAUCCCUGAAUAGCUGGCAUAUCUCCCAGAACAGGUAUUCAUUAAAAAAAAAAAAAAAAAAAAAAAAAAAAAAAGGGAAACCUGGAUUUUACUACUGAGAUUACAUUGUGUUUUCACAAAUGAGAGAUAAUUCCAUUGCAACCCCUUGCUUGUACCCCGAAACCGCAUUCAAAAGCAGAUGUGUAUCUAGGCUGAUGUUGGAAAGUCUACCUGCCUUUCCCGAUCCCCUCGCCUCCCCUCCCACUGACAGCAUUUUCCUGAUUGUUUCCACUCUCCUGGGGUCCAGAUGGUGGUGGCUGUGGCAGCACCUUGGCUCCUAAACUGGCUAUUCCAGAAGGUGAUAGGAGGUUGGGGAUGUGUAUUGCAAAGGUCAGACCAGUAGGGAUCUUAAGCACAUCCUUGGUUAUAAACGUCUCCUCUUGAAGCUCUUGCCAGAGCUGUGCGUUAAUGCCAAAUGUUAAUUCUUGCUGGGGACAUGAUGUCUUAUAAAUGUUAUGAAAGAAUAUCAUUUUUCUUGUAGAAGUGAAGGUACUUUUAGGGCCAUGUUAAGAAAAGGAUUCGUUUCCCAAGUAACAUCUGUAGGUCACGUGCUUGCCUAUAAAUCGCUUCCUUGCUCAAAUUCCCCCAUCUCCUGCCAUUGUUAACCAAGAGUUGGAAGGAAUUCUCACCUGGAAGAAAGAAUAGAACUUAACUUUGAAGGAUGCAUAAAGAUUAAAAACAAACAAACAAAAACCCUAAACAUAAAACAAUCCCACCCCCCGUGCUAAUAUUUGUCUUUUCUCCGUAGUCCUACAAGUCUAUGCAAGACUCAGAGCUCAUUCAGAUGUGUCUCUGAACUAAAAAUAAUAGAGCAGAUUCAACUUGGGGAGGACUUAAAGUCCUUUUUCUCAUCUCUUUUGUGAGUAUAUCCUUGUUGACAUCACAUGUGCUUCCCAGCUUUGGAGUUAUAAGGUGUUGGUGGGAGGUGAUUCACUCUCCCUCUUCGUAAGAAAGAGCAGAAGUUCAGCAGAGUUAACUGAGGUCUACCCGCCACCACUCGUCUGGUUUGUUAUGGAGUUGAAUAUCUCUCCCCUUUCUAUUCUUUGAAAUGUUUUGAAUUAAAAUAGCUUACUCAAGGUCACUGAAGGCAUAUGGUCCUGCUCAAAACUUUAAACAAAACAUUAGUUUUUACAACCUUUUGUAAUUUGGUCUUGUAUACAACAUGGUUAUAUGCGGAGUUUCUGUAAUCUUUUCAGUGGGUGACAGAAAUAUGAGAAGCAAAUUUAUAAGCCAUUUAGUGAAGCAUUUAAUCAAUUUCAUGCAUAAGAAAUAACCCCAAUUGCUUUGCUUUAUCAGUCUUUCUCUCCAGGAGAACUGCAGUCAACAUGAUCUCCAAACAGUGGCUGGGGGUGGAGGUGGGAGCUCAGGGGGUCGAGGAGAGCGGGGACAGUGUGGGACGGUUUGCGAGGAAACCUCAGGAUGCACUUCAGUGUCAGGGCCUUCUGAAGUCUGCCUAACAGGGUUGCCAGCAUCCCUGAGACUUCUGGAGGCUGUUAAUGUAUUUCAGAAAGCAAGCAUGGGGGUCUAAUGUUUAGAAGAAGUUUUCAAGGCCUUUUACUGCAAAGUUAUUCAUUAAACACCCUUUUCCCAGAGUGACUCUCAUGUGCUCAGCAUGGCAGAUGCUUCAACUUUAGGCUCAAAGAAAUAGUCAGUGGUAAUUUCUUUCAAACACAUGAAAAAAUAAAACGACUUACAUGAGAACUUACUUCUGAGACUUACAGAGUCGAAGCAAGGUGAUCAAAAUAACUGAAAAUCCACUAAAGUGGAUUGUUAGGAGGAGAGAUAUUUGAGCAUUUUUCAGAAUACCUGAAUUGUUCAUGUUCUGACUCUCUCUUUCUUUUUCAAACUUAAUUUGAACUGCCUAAAAGAUUCAUCUGGCUCUUGGCUACAUAAUAGGUUAAUAUUUUCCUUUCUGUCAUGUGCUAGAAUCCCUCUUAUAACACUUUACCCCAAACACCAUCAAGUUCUUAAGUGAAAAAGUCCUAAGGGAGCAAAAAAAGUUCUUAAGUGAAAAAGUCCUAAGGGAGCAAAAAAAGUUCUUACAAUAAUCGCUACUUGCUAAACUAUAUUAAAAUUGCACAGCUCUACCUUGUCCUCCAAAAUUGGAACUGAUAUAAAGGUACUGCAGUCAUAGUUUAUAAUUUAGAAAAUAAUCUGCUACCACUUUUUCUAGACCGAGAAAAAUAUCUGAGUGAAUAAAUUCCAAUCUACAUUCCUUAGUUCUGAUUUGAAAUCAGCUCCAUUCAUGGAUUCAUCUCAAGAGGCUCUGCUGUUUCACAUUCUCUUUUAAAUAUGACAUAAACGAGGGUGUUCCUGCGUUGGCAGUUCAUUAGCAUGCUCUUGGAUAUUUAUGUAGGCUGUGGGGGCUGCACUAUUAUAUUGAAUAGAGUUAUUUUGGUAACACUACAUCAAAUUGGUGGCUCUAAUGGAGAUUGCCAACGCUUGUCUGUCUUUCUGUCUAUCAUCCAUGGCUAUUCAGUCAUUGACUCCUGGAUUAAACCUCACUUGAC
rnacentral:lncRNA from 1 species